UGGUGGAGCGAUUUGUCUGGUUAAUUCCGUUAACGAACGAGACUACUACUUGCUAAAAUACAGGGGGGGUGCUGGGUACUGUGGGGCCACGUUCAGUUGGGGCGGCGGGGAUUCUCGCCGCUCACACUGCACUCGGUUACCCUCUCAGCAUCCCUUCCUUUUCUUAGAGGGACUUUUGGUGUCAAGCCAAAGGAAGUGAGUGGCAAUAGCA
rnacentral:rRNA from 1 species